rnacentral:rRNA from 1 species
GAGUGGCGAACGGGUGAGUAACACGUGGGUAACCUGCCCAUCAGAAGGGGAUAACACUUGGAAACAGGUGCUAAUACCGUAUAACAAUCGAAACCGCAUGGUUUUGAUUUGAAAGGCGCUUUCGGGUGUCGCUGAUGGAUGGACCCGCGGUGCAUUAGCUAGUUGGUGAGGUAACGGCUCACCAAGGCCACGAUGCAUAGCCGACCUGAGAGGGUGAUCGGCCACAUUGGGACUGAGACACGGCCCAAACUCCUACGGGAGGCAGCAGUAGGGAAUCUUCGGCAAUGGACGAAAGUCUGACCGAGCAACGCCGCGUGAGUGAAGAAGGUUUUCGGAUCGUAAAACUCUGUUGUUAGAGAAGAACAAGGAUGAGAGUAACUGUUCAUCCCUUGACGGUAUCUAACCAGAAAGCCACGGCUAACUACGUGCCAGCAGCCGCGGUAAUACGUAGGUGGCAAGCGUUGUCCGGAUUUAUUGGGCGUAAAGCGAGCGCAGGCGGUUUCUUAAGUCUGAUGUGAAAGCCCCCGGCUCAACCGGGGAGGGUCAUUGGAAACUGGGAGACUUGAGUGCAGAAGAGGAGAGUGGAAUUCCAUGUGUAGCGGUGAAAUGCGUAGAUAUAUGGAGGAACACCAGUGGCGAAGGCGGCUCUCUGGUCUGUAACUGACGCUGAGGCUCGAAAGCGUGGGGAGCAAACAGGAUUAGAUACCCUGGUAGUCCACGCCGUAAACGAUGAGUGCUAAGUGUUGGAGGGUUUCCGCCCUUCAGUGCUGCAGCUAACGCAUUAAGCACUCCGCCUGGGGAGUACGACCGCAAGGUUGAAACUCAAAGGAAUUGACGGGGGCCCGCACAAGCGGUGGAGCAUGUGGUUUAAUUCGAAGCAACGCGAAGAACCUUACCAGGUCUUGACAUCCUUUGACCACUCUAGAGAUAGAGCUUCCCCUUCGGGGGCAAAGUGACAGGUGGUGCAUGGUUGUCGUCAGCUCGUGUCGUGAGAUGUUGGGUUAAGUCCCGCAACGAGCGCAACCCUUAUUGUUAGUUGCCAUCAUUUAGUUGGGCACUCUAGCAAGACUGCCGGUGACAAACCGGAGGAAGGUGGGGAUGACGUCAAAUCAUCAUGCCCCUUAUGACCUGGGCUACACACGUGCUACAAUGGGAAGUACAACGAGUCGCGAAGUCGCGAGGCUAAGCUAAUCUCUUAAAGCUUCUCUCAGUUCGGAUUGUAGGCUGCAACUCGCCUACAUGAAGCCGGAAUCGCUAGUAAUCGCGGAUCAGCACGCCGCGGUGAAUACGUUCCCGGGCCUUGUACACACCGCCCGUCACACCACGAGAGUUUGUAACACCCGAAGUCGGUGAGGUAACCUUUUGGAGCCAGCCGCCUAAGGUGGGAUAGAUGAUUGGGG